GACCUCGUAGCUCAGCUGGUAGAGCGUACGCUGUACGAAACGCGUAGGCGGCGCCUAUGCAUGGGUUCGAGCCCCACCGAGGCUA
rnacentral:tRNA from 1 species